AACGAACGCUGGCGGCAUGCCUAACACAUGCAAGUCGAACGAGACCUUCGGGUCUAGUGGUGCACGGGUGCGUAACGCGUGGGAACCUGCCCUUAGGUUCGGAAUAACUCCCCGAAAGGGGUGCUAAUACCGGAUAAUGUCUUCGGACCAAAGAUUUAUCGCCUUUGGAUGGGCCUGCGUUGGAUUAGCUAGUUGGUAGGGUAAAAGCCUACCAAGGCGACGAUCCAUAGCUGGUCUGAGAGGAUGAUCAGCCACACUGGGACUGAGACACGGCCCAGACUCCUACGGGAGGCAGCAGUGGGGAAUAUUGGACAAUGGGCGAAAGCCUGAUCCAGCAAUGCCGCGUGAGUGAUGAAGGCCUUAGGGUUGUAAAGCUCUUUUACCCGGGAUGAUAAUGACAGUACCGGGAGAAUAAGCUCCGGCUAACUCCGUG
rnacentral:rRNA from 1 species